UACGUAGGGUGCGAGCGUUGUCCGGAAUUACUGGGCGUAAAGAGCUCGUAGGUGGUUUGUCGCGUUGUCCGUGAAAACUCACAACUCAAUUGUGGGCGUGCGGGCGAUACGGGCAGACUGGAGUACUGCAGGGGAGACUGGAAUUCCUGGUGUAGCGGUGGAAUGCGUUGAUAUCCACAGGAACUCCGGUGGCGAAGGCGGCACGCUGGAUCCUCUCUGACGCUGAGGCGCGAAAGCCAGGGGAGCGAACGGGG
rnacentral:rRNA from 1 species